GACGGAAGGUGCAAGCGUUGCUCGGAAUCACUGGGCGUAAAGGGUGCGUAGGCGGCUUGGUGGGUCUGGUGUGAAAGCCCCGGGCUCAGCCCGGGAAGGGCACUAGAAACUGCCGAGCUGGAGUGCCGGAGGGGAGAGUGGAAUUCCUGGUGUAGCGGUGAAAUGCGUAGAUAUCGGGAGGAACACCUGUGGCGAAAGCGGCGCACUGGACCACAACUGACGCUGAGGCGCGAAAGCUAGGGGAGCAAACAGG
rnacentral:rRNA from 1 species